rnacentral:rRNA from 1 species
CUACGGGGGGCUCCAGUUAGGGAUAUUCGGCAAUGGGGGAAACCCUGACCGAGCAAUGCCGCGUGAAUGAAGAAGUAUUUCAAUAUGUAAAGUUCUGUUGUUAAGGAAGAAAGGUACGAAUAGGAAAUGAUUCGUAAUUGACGGUACUUAACCAGAAAGCCCCUGCUAACUACGUGCCAGCAGCAGCGGUAAUACGUAGGGGGCGAGCGUUAUCCGGAAUUAUUGGGCGUAAAGGGUGCGUAGGCGGCCUGUCAAGUCCGAGUUGAAAGCCCACGGCUUAACCGUGGAGGGUGCUCGGAAACUGAUAGGCUUGAAUCCAGAAGAGGCAAGUGGAAUUCUAUGUGGAGCGGUGGAAUGCGUAGAUAUAUGGAGGAACACCAGUGGCGAAGGCGGCUUGCUGGGCUGGUAUUGGCGCUGAUGCACGAAAGCGUGGGGAGCAAACAGGAUUAGAUACCCCGGUAGUC